rnacentral:rRNA from 1 species
UUAACCGGAUUAGAUACCCUGGUAGUCCACGCCGUAAACGAUGUCGACUUGGAGGUUGUGCCCUUGAGGCGUGACUUCCGGAGCUAACGCGUUAAGUCGACCGCCUGGGGAGUACGGCCGCAAGGUUAAAACUCAAAUGAAUUGACGGGGGCCCGCACAAGCGGUGGAGCAUGUGGUUUAAUUCGAUGCAACGCGAAGAACCUUACCUGGUCUUGACAUCCACAGAACUUUCCAGAGAUGGAUUGGUGCCUUCGGGAACUGUGAGACAGGUGCUGCAUGGCUGUCGUCAGCUCGUGUUGUGAAAUGUUGGGUUAAGUCCCGCAACGAGCGCAACCCUUAUCCUUUGUUGCCAGCGGUCCGGCCGGGAACUCAAAGGAGACUGCCAGUGAUAAACCGGAGGAAGGUGGGGAUGACGUA